rnacentral:rRNA from 1 species
GGGUUAAGUCCCGCAACGAGCGCAACCCUUAUCCUUUGUUGCCAGCGGUCCGGCCGGGAACUCAAAGGAGACUGCCAGUGAUAAACUGGAGGAAGGUGGGGAUGACGUCAAGUCAUCAUGGCCCUUACGAGUAGGGCUACACACGUGCUACAAUGGCGCAUACAAAGAGAAGCGAACUCGCGAGAGCAAGCGGACCUCAUAAAGUGCGUCGUAGUCCGGAUUGGAGUCUGCAACUCGACUCCAUGAAGUCGGAAUCGCUAGUAAUCGUAGAUCAGAAUGCUACGGUGAAUACGUUCCCG